rnacentral:lncRNA from 1 species
AGUAAGUGAUGGAUUCUCCAGAGCCUUCUUCCAGUCUCAGUCAACCACUGACUCAACAAACUUCUGAGGUGGUAGCUAAAGUACUGUGGUGUAUUGACAGAAGAUCCAGGAUGACUCAGCCAUGGAUAUUUAUGAAUUUUAUACCAGCAGACCAGUGAUCUUCAAACCAGCACAUUGGCU